rnacentral:other from 1 species
GAGACUGUGGACUGGACGACGUCAGGAUGAUGUCACUUCAGGAUGAAGCGGACCACAUCCGGACGAUGCACGGAAAGGCUUCAGGAAGAAGCAAGGAUAUCUCAGGAUGAGAUAUGGACACCUCCAGGAAGGAGAAUGAGAGCCAUACCAGGAAGGUGUGGUGGGCCAGGAUGCCAAAGGAUGAUAAGCCGGGAUGGCUUAAUGUGUCAGGAUGGCACACAGGAAAAGUUUUCAAGGAUGAGCAGGGAGCACAAAAGUAGCUGGAGCGCUGCAAACGAACCGGGAGCACUGUUUUUACAGUGCUCCCUUUUUUUGUU